GAUGAACGCUAGCUACAGGCUUAACACAUGCAAGUCGAGGGGCAGCAUGGUCUUAGCUUGCUAAGGCCGAUGGCGACCGGCGCACGGGUGAGUAACGCGUAUCCAACCUGCCUUACACUCUUGGACAGCCUUCUGAAAGGGAGAUUAAUACAAGAUGUUAUCAUGAGUAAGCAUUUUCGCAUGAUUAAAGGUUUACCGGUGUAAGAUGGGGAUGCGUUCCAUUAGAUAGUAGGCGGGGUAACGGCCCACCUAGUCUUCGAUGGAUAGGGGUUCUGAGAGGAAGGUCCCCCACAUUGGAACUGAGACACGGUCCAAACUCCUACGGGAGGCAGCAGUGAGGAAUAUUGGUCAAUGGACGAGAGUCUGAACCAGCCAAGUAGCGUGAAGGAUGAAGGUUCUAUGGAUUGUAAACUUCUUUUAUACGGGAAUAAACGGAUCCACGUGUGGAUUUUUGCAUGUACCGUAUGAAUAAGGAUCGGCUAACUCCGUGCCAGCAGCCGCGGUAAUACGGAGGAUCCGAGCGUUAUCCGGAUUUAUUGGGUUUAAAGGGAGCGUAGAUGGGUUGUUAAGUCAGUUGUGAAAGUUUGCGGCUCAACCGUAAAAUUGCAAUUGAUACUGGCAGUCUUGAGUACAGUUGAGGUAGGCGGAAUUCGUGGUGUAGCGGUGAAAUGCUUAGAUAUCACGAAGAACUCCGAUUGCGAAGGCAGCUUACUAACCUGUAACUGACAUUGAUGCUCGAAAGUGUGGGUAUCAAACAGGAUUAGAUACCCUGGUAGUCCACACGGUAAACGAUGAAUACUCGCUGUAGGCGAUAUACAGUCUGCGGCCAAGCGAAAGCAUUAAGUAUUCCACCUGGGGAGUACGCCGGCAACGGUGAAACUCAAAGGAAUUGACGGGGGCCCGCACAAGCGGAGGAACAUGUGGUUUAAUUCGAUGAUACGCGAGGAACCUUACCCGGGCUUAAAUUGCAACCGAAUAUGGCGGAAACGCUAUAGCUAGCAAUAGCGGUUGUGAAGGUGCUGCAUGGUUGUCGUCAGCUCGUGCCGUGAGGUGUCGGCUUAAGUGCCAUAACGAGCGCAACCCUUGCCGAUAGUUACUAACAGGUUAUGCUGAGGACUCUGUCGGGACUGCCAUCGUAAGAUGUGAGGAAGGUGGGGAUGAUGUCAAAUCAGCACGGCCCUUACGUCCGGGGCUACACACGUGUUACAAUGGGGGGUACAGAGGGCUGCUACCACGCAAGUGGAUGCCAAUCCCAAAAACCUCUCUCAGUUCGGAUUGAAGUCUGCAACCCGACUUCAUGAAGCUGGAUUCGCUAGUAAUCGCGCAUCAGCCACGGCGCGGUGAAUACGUUCCCGGGCCU
rnacentral:rRNA from 1 species